ACACUCCUACGGGAGGCAGCAGUGGGGAAUUUUGGACAAUGGGCGAAAGCCUGAUCCAGCAAUGCCGCGUGUGUGAAGAAGGCCUUCGGGUUGUAAAGCACUUUUGUCCGGAAAGAAAUCCUUGGCUCUAAUACAGUCGGGGGAUGACGGUACCGGAAGAAUAAGCACCGGCUAACUACGUGCCAGCAGCCGCGGUAAUACGUAGGGUGCGAGCGUUAAUCGGAAUUACUGGGCGUAAAGCGUGCGCAGGCGGUUUGCUAAGACCGAUGUGAAAUCCCCGGGCUCAACCUGGGAACUGCAUUGGUGACUGGCAGGCUAGAGUAUGGCAGAGGGGGGUAGAAUUCCACGUGUAGCAGUGAAAUGCGUAGAGAUGUGGAGGAAUACCGAUGGCGAAGGCAGCCCCCUGGGCCAAUACUGACGCUCAUGCACGAAAGCGUGGGGAGCAAACAGGAUUAGAAACCCUAGUAGUCCCAUGAU
rnacentral:rRNA from 1 species